rnacentral:tRNA from 1 species
GGGGGUGGCUGGGCGGCGGCUGCGCCGCGGUGUACGUCACCGCGACCUUCACGCUCAUCCCCGCGAUCGGCGCCGCGGCCACCGUCGC